rnacentral:sRNA from 1 species
GAAGAUUGGGACUUAAUGGAAAGGUUUAUGGAGCAAGUGAUCUUUAAAUAUUUAAGGGCAGAACCUGAAGACCAUUAUUUUCUUUUGACUGAACCUCCAUUGAAUACUCCAGAAAACAGGGAAUAUACUGCUGAAAUAAUGUUUGAGUCCUUCAAUGUUCCAGGCUUGUACAUUGCUGUGCAGGCUGUUCUUGCCUUAGCUGCAUCUUGGACCUCAAGACAAGUAGGAGAACGGACGUUGACUGGUACGGUAAUAGACAGUGGAGAUGGUGUCACUCAUGUCAUUCCUGUGGUAAGGCUAUUUUACAGUUACUGAACAGAACAUGAAAUAACACAUCUGGCAAAGUUAAAUUAUGCGAAUUAAUAUUACUUUUAAAAAACUUUAAAUACUGCACUUUAAAAUUUUGCUAUAAUUUGGCCAUUUGUUCAGUUAUAGCUAUGUUUUUUUCACCUUUUAAAAAUUUGAUAAACAAUUCAAAAUGUUUCUUUUACUGUAGGUUUGUACUGCAAUUAAGAAAAUUACGAAUUGUAAUCUCUGGAAUGGAAGUAUAUUAAUGGC